ensembl:snRNA U6 U6 spliceosomal RNA
CUACUGUAAGCCAGGAGCAUUUGUACUAAAAUUGGAAUGAUAGCAUAUUAACAUGGUCCCUGCACAAAGAUGACAUGAAAAUUUGUGAAGCUUUCCAUAUUUUU